rnacentral:lncRNA from 1 species
GUGACAAGCCGUGCCCAGCCCUUAUUCCUCAGGGCAGGUACAGCGUGUCUGUUUACCACGGGAUCCAAUUAGAAGUUUAUGGUAAGGAAACCACUUUGCGAGGUUGCCUCCCUCCCCCCACGCCUGGCUGGGCUCCUGCUGCCCUCUCCCUUCCCUUCUCCCCCUUAGCCAAGGUUCGUGGAAAACUUCUCAGGUCAGUGAUUCUCACCUUCCUUUCCUCCUCAGCAGAGAGGGGCCCCACCCCCUUCUCUGGAACCUGGCACCUUCUUUCCCUCAAAGCCCUGCUCUCCUUGGACAAAGCAGACGAGAUGCGCUGUGGAGGAGGAGGGGCAGGCCUGGGAGCUGAACCCAGGGCAGAAGUUCCGCCUCGGCCUCGCUCAUCUCCCGGCGCUGUCGGCCCAGGAGAUGCGCUCUGGCUUCCUGUGAUCUUAGAGGUGAGCCUGGGCAGCCUUCGCCUCAAGGCACCACCGUGUGGUGGCAAGUCCACACUUCUGACCAGCCCAUGCCUCCUCUUUGAGCUCUGACUCCUACAAGCAGACUUGACAUUUCCACUUGAAGUCUCCCAGAUGUUGCAACGUGACCUGUCCCAGCGAGAAUGCUUGAUUCUCACCCCGGUCUUGCCUGUAUCACCUCCGCCUUCCUAGUCACUAACGACUGUGGUCCUCGAUUCCUCCUCACCUUUUACAUCCAAUUUACCAUCAGGUCCAGGAAACCCUACCUCCAAAGUAGAUUCCACCACGUCUAGUCCCAACAUUUCUCUUGAUUGCCACCACCACCCCGUUUUCUUUUCAACCACCUUCCUCUCUUACCUGGACUCUUACCUGCUUCCAACUGAGCCUCCUCCAUUUCAGUCUCAAUGAGGCAUUAAGAAUCAUCAUUCAGGUGGCUCAGUCAGCUAAGCGGACAACUGCGGCUCAGGUCACGAUCUCCAGUUCAUGGGUUUGAGCCCUGCAUCUCCUCUCUCUCUGUCCCUGCCCCACUCAUUCUAUCUCUCAGAAUAAAUAAAUAAACUUUUGUUAAAAAAAGAAUGAU